rnacentral:rRNA from 1 species
AGCAGCCGCGGUAAUUCCAGCUCCAAUAGCGUAUAUUAAAGUUGUUGCAGUUAAAAAGCUCGUAGUUGAAUUUCGGGACCAUCAUGUCGGUCGUGCCUCGGUACGUACUGGUAUUGUUGGUUUCUCCCUUCUGACGAACCAUGGCGUCAUUUAUUUGGUGUUGUGGGGAAUCAGGACUGUUACUUUGAAAAAAUUAGAGUGUUUAAAGCAGGCUCACGCUUGAAUACAUUAGCAUGGAAUAAUGAAAUAGGACGUUUGAUUCUAUUUUGUUGGUUUCUAGGAUCGACGUAAUGAUUAAUAGGGAUAGUUGGGGGCAUUAGUAUUCAAUUGUCAGAGGUGAAAUUCUUGGAUUUAUUGAAGACUAACUACUGCGAAAGCAUUUGCCAAGGAUGUUUUCAUUAAUCAAGAACGAAAGUUAGGGGAUCGAAGACGAUCAGAUACCGUCGUAGUCUUAACCAUAAACUAUGCCGACUAGGGAUCGGAUGAUGUUAAUUUUUAAUGACUCAUUCGGCGCCUUACG